AUUAAUAGGGAUAGUUGGGGGCAUUAAUAUUUAAUUGUCAGAGGUGAAAUUCUUGGAUUUAUGAAAGAUUAACUUCUGCGAAAGCAUCUGCCAAGGAUGUUUUCAUUAAUCAAGAACGAAAGUUAGGGGAUCGAAGACGAUCAGAUACCGUCGUAGUCUUAACCAUAAACGAUGCCGACCAGCGAUUAGGAGACGUUGAAUACAAAACACCACCAUCGGUGCGGUCGUCCUUGGCGUCGG
rnacentral:rRNA from 1 species